rnacentral:rRNA from 1 species
CAAAGAGUCGAGUUGUUUGGGAAUGCAGCUCAAAAUGGGUGGUGAACUCCAUCUAAAGCUAAAUAUUGGCGAGAGACCGAUAGCGAACAAGUACCGUGAGGGAAAGAUGAAAAGCACUUUGGAAAGAGAGUGAAACAGUACGUGAAAUUGUUGAAAGGGAAACGCUUGAAGUCAGUCGCGUCGACCGAGACUCAGCCUCGCCUUGGCUUGGUGUACUUCUCGGCUGACGGGCCAGCAUUGAUUUCGUCCCUCGGAUAAUGGCGAGAGAAAGGUGGCACCCCUCGUGGGUGUGUUAUAGUCUCCUGUCGCAUACGAGGGAUGGGAUCGAGGACCUCAGCAUGCACCUCUCGGUGCCGGGGCUUUGGCCCACGAUACGUGCUUAGGAUGUUGGCGUAAUGGCUUUAAACGACCCGUCUUGAAACACGGACCAAGGAGUCUAACAUGCCCGCGAGUGUUCGGGUGGAAAACCCGUGCGCGAAAUGAAAGUGAAAAGUUGGGACCUCUGUCGUGGAGGGCACCGACGCCCGGACCAGACCUUCUGUGACGGAUCUGCGGUAGAGCGUGCAUGUUGGGACCCGAAAGAUGGUGAACUAUGCCUGAAUAGGGUGAAGCCAGAGGAACU